GAUGAACGCUGGCGGCGUGCCUAAUACAUGCAAGUCGAGCGAACGGACGAGAAGCUUGCUUUUCUGAUGUUAGCGGCGGACGGGUGAGUAACACGUGGAUAACCUACCUAUAAGACUGGGAUAACUUCGGGAAACCGGAGCUAAUACCGGAUAAUAUUUUGAACCGCAUGGUUCAAAAGUGAAAGACGGUCUUGCUGUCACUUAUAGAUGGAUCCGCGCUGCAUUAGCUAGUUGGUAAGGUAACGGCUUACCAAGGCAACGAUGCAUAGCCGACCUGAGAGAGUGAUCGGCCACACUGGCACUGAGACACGGUCCAGACUCCUACGGGAGGCAGCAGUAGGGAAUCUUCCGCAAUGGGCGAAAGCCUGACGGAGCAACGCCGCGUGAGUGAUGAAGGUCUUCGGAUCGUAAAACUCUGUUAUUAGGGAAGAACAUAUGUGUAAGUAACUGUGCACAUCUUGACGGUACCUAAUCAGAAAGCCACGGCUAACUACGUG
rnacentral:rRNA from 1 species